rnacentral:rRNA from 1 species
CGGCAACAGCUCAGAUUUGAAAUCUGGCCCUUACGGGGUCCGAGUUGUAAUCUGUAGAGGAUGCUUUUGGCGACGCGCCUUCCGAGUCCCCUGGAACGGGGCGCCAGAGAGGGUGAGAGCCCCGUAUGGUUGGACGCCGAACCUCUGUAAAGCUCCUUCGAC